rnacentral:rRNA from 1 species
GUUGAACGCUGGCGGCAGGCUUAACACAUGCAAGUCGAGCGGAAGCGAUGAUAGCUUGCUAUCAGGCGUCGAGCGGAGGACGGGUGAGUAAUACUUAGGAAUCUGCCUAGUAGUGGGGGAUAGCUCGGGGAAACUCGAAUUAAUACCGCAUACGACCUAAGGGAGAAAGGGGGCAACUUGUUGCUCUCGCUAUUAGAUGAGCCUAAGUCGGAUUAGCUGGAUGGUGGGGUAAAGGCCUACCAUGGCGACGAUCUGUAGCUGGUCUGAGAGGAUGAUCAGCCACACCGGGACUGAGACACGGCCCGG